rnacentral:rRNA from 1 species
GGAUGCGAUCAUACCAGCACUAAAGCACCGGAUCCCAUCAGAACUCCGAAGUUAAGCGUGCUUGGGCGAGAGUAGUACUAGGAUGGGUGGGUGACCUCCUGGGAAGUCCUCGUGUUGCAUUCC